AGAUACACUGCUUUAUUUACUCAGUUGUUUGCCUGAAGCAAGUCAGGAAUUUGUGCCAUCUGCCUUAUUUCAGUUAAAACAGCCUUAUAAACACCCGCAAGAGACGGACAGACAGACAGACAAAACCCCCACCAACGUUUUCCCUAGGCAGAAUGGACAUCAAGGAGUAUUUUGCCAGAAUUUCUUACCGGGGUUCCUACAAUAAGCCAGACCUGCCUACUCUGUCAGAUAUAUUCCAGCACCACAUCCGAGCUGUCCCUUUUGAAAACCUCAGCAUCCACUGUGGGGAAAGGAUUGAGCUGGACCUGGAAGCAACCUACAACAAGAUAGUGAGGAAGAAACGUGGAGGUUGGUGCAUGGAAAACAACAGCCUUUUGUCUUGGGUCCUGAAAACUCUUGGCUAUGACAUCACCCUUCUGGGAGCCAACGUUUACGUCCCGGAGCGCGACGCCUACCCAGAGGAAAUCGAUCAUCUGCUGAUGAAAGUGGUGCUUGAUGGCAAAUCCUACAUUGUGGAUGGGGGGUUUGGGAUGGCCUACCAGAUGUGGCAGCCAAUGGAGCUGAUUUCAGGGGCAGAUCAGCCGCAGACUCCCGGGGUCUUUCGCUUCCGGGAGGAGGGCGGAACCUGGUACCUCGAAAAGUUGAAAAGGAAGCAGUUGAUUCCCAACCAAGAUGCCUCCACUUCCCAUAAAGUGGAAGAUGAAGUUUGCCGCCCCAUUUACCUCUUUACCCUUCAGCCACGAGACAUUGAAGAGUUCAGAGGCUGCAAUGCCCUCCUGCAGACAGCGCCCGACUCACCCUUCAUGACCAAGUCCUUUUGCAGCCUGCAGACUGCCGACGGCGUCCGGGCACUGGUGGGGUGGAAACUCACUGAGACGAAGUUCAAUUAUAGGGACAAUAUGGAUCUUGUGGAAAUCAGAAUGCUUGCAGAUGAAGAAAUAGAGAAAACGCUGAAAGAGAAAUUCAAUAUAACGCUAGACAAGAAAUUUGUACCCGUCAAUUAAAGCAGGUGGUCUCUGUUCUAACUCACUGCCUGAAUUAUAAUUCAAUCCAGGGGCAUUACAGGCAAUUCCCUCCCUCUUUCUGACAAGCAUCUAAAGGUUAAGCUUUUCCCUUCCAUCUACACCAGUGUAAGGCAGAACACACUAACACGAAUCUCCAAAAGAAAUGGAUUUUCACAACUAUUCCUACAUCUCUUUUUGCUUUGGAUACAAAUAAUUCCUUCCUAGCUCAAUCAAAUCACUGUCCUCUGUUUGUUCUUAGCAGGAAGCACACUCUGCCCAUUCCCUACUCCUUUCAUCUCUUAAAAGCUUCUCUAAACACACCCAGAGUAGCUGGGCAGAACGAUGGAACUGUAUGUCUCUCUCUUUAUUACCUGGUGCUGCCACCUGGGGAAAAUCAUAUCCACCUCUUAAAUGAACACUGUAUUACUUUGGGAAUUUAAUAGCCAGAAAAACAAAGACAUCCUGUGCUGAGUUUGCUCCACAAGCCUGUCCUUUUUGCUCCUGCAUCCACAACACCGUCUCACGUGGCAGUCAGAGGGUGUCACACCUGUGCUGCACUGUGAGAGUACUUAAGGACAGGUUAUUUAUGGCCCUAAAACAGAUGAUAAGAAAUAUUAGUGACAAUUCUUUACAUGACUCCUGUCCUCUUGGUGACAUAACCAAAAAGCAGUAUUUCUUUGAACUGGAAGCAGUUCCUGAGCAUUUUGUUUGCUACCAGCCAGCAGCAGACUGCUGGGAAUCCAGGUUCCCACUGUCACUCUGAGUGUUACUGCACAUUAAUUAUUAUGGCUGAAUCCCAAAACAGGCACUGAAUUAUUUUUCUGAAACAUAUCUGUUCUACUGAGGAUGUGUUAGCAGUGAUACAAAUUAUAUUGAUAUAAGGAGAAACGAUGAAUCUUAAUCACAUACCUAAAGGCUAAGAUUUCUAGUAGGAGAAAUUACUCAAAUGUGAUCACUUCGCCCUUUGAGAAGAUACUUGAUGUUCCUUCAUGUACAAAUCUUGGAAGCAUUACAACCAUGCACUUAUAAUUUAGUAAAUUAUAUAAGUGAUUUACAGUUAAAUAAUAAUAAAAAAAAAUCAAACAUUGUGUGGUAGAAUUAUUCAGACAUUUCUCCCCCCCAAAUUACAGCGUGUAUUCCCAAAGUAGAAAAUGUCAUUAAUCACUGCAGUUGUCCUGAUUAUUUUUAUGUGUUAAUAUUUUGCAGCUAAGGCUUUUAAAAACACAAUAACUCACCAAACCUUUUUUUUACUUGGUAUGCAGUACAUGCAGCUUUCUAUAACUAGCAAUUUAUGGGGAAUAAAAGCUGCUGCUAUUCUGCAUGUUCAAAGUGUACUUCACAGAGACACAGUGAGCUCCCCAAAUCCCUGUCUCCCCAGAGUCAAACUCAUCUGUAUGUGCUUGGCUGUGAGUGUGCAAUAGUCCUUUAUAACACAUGAGGCUCUCCCACCCCCCAGGGAAAUGAAAUGUUAAUGCCAUCCUGUAGUGGAUUGCAGGGAAAAAGGGGCUUCUUAUGGUGUGGACCAGCAGCUCACAACACAGAUGAUCAGAAGAAAUUGUCCCAGGAUAUGGCCUGUUUGUGGUCUGUGCCUUUCUGUGGUCCCCACAAGAGUGGAAGAGCUAAAGGAGCUAAACUCAGUAGGUUUGUCCUUGUAGCAGCCUGGCAGCUGGGGCAAAGCACUGGGAUGAAGGCAAAACCCCAAGCAGGUCUUGCAAAGUUGUGGGGCAGGAGAAGAUCCAGGCAGAUCCAAGAAGCUCCGUCCUUUGUGGGAACAGAUAUUGGGAACACCUAGAAGGGGCUGUGCCCGCUCCUCUCUCUGUGCCCUGGGUGCUUCUUGCACUUUGUACUGUUCCACAGGCUCAGGGCAAGGAGCACAGAACCAUAAAACCAUAGACCUUUAAGAUCAGAGUAGGGCAUUACACCCAUUGCCCCAGAGAUUCAGCAUGUGAAGGCCAAUAACAGGGAACACCACUUUUCUUUCUGCUGACACAUCUCCUGGACUGUGUGCCCUGGCCCCUGCCAGGGCUGCUGCCCCUCCAUGGCACAGCUCAGCACUCCUGGCCGCUGCUCAGCACACCCACAGAGGCAGAUUUUAUU